CCUACGGGAGGCAGCAGUGGGGAAUAUUGGGCAAUGGGCGCAAGCCUGACCCAGCAACGCCGCGUGAAGGAAGAAGGCCCUCGGGUUGUAAACUUCUUUUAUCAGGGACGAAACAAAUGACGGUACCUGAUGAAUAAGCCACGGCUAACUACGUGCCAGCAGCCGCGGUAAUACGUAGGUGGCAAGCGUUAUCCGGAUUUACUGGGUGUAAAGGGCGUGUAGGCGGGAGAGCAAGUCAGACGUGAAAUUCCAGGGCUCAACCCUGGAACUGCGUUUGAAACUGUUCUUCUUGAGUGAUGGAGAGGCAGGCGGAAUUCCGUGUGUAGCAGUGAAAUGCGUAGAUAUACGGAGGAACACCAGUGGCGAAGGCGGCCUGCUGGACAUUAACUGACGCUGAGGUUCGAAAGCGUGGGUAGCAAACAGGAUUAGAUACCCGAGUAGUC
rnacentral:rRNA from 1 species